CUUUGAUAAUUUUAAUUUUUUUUACGUUUUGAGAAAAGGUCUCUCACUUAAACCUGGAACUUACCAUGUAGACCAGGUAGGCUUCGACUUUACAUUCCAGUUUUCCAGACUUCGCAACCUCAGCUUUCCAAACCUUGGGAUUAGAGGUGAGCCACACACACCCUGCUGGAUUCCUAACAUGCUUUAGGCUGUGCAUCUGUGAAUCAAUCUCUGGCUGCAGUUUACCGGCACAACAAAUCAUACAGGAUGACACACAGAAACGGUAAACUUUAAGGCUUGAAUGGAGCCUACUAGGGGGGCAUCACUCAAGUCGGCCUGUUCCCAGGAGCAUCUCUGCGUUCAGGUUUCCUUCCCAGGCCUUUUGUCGCUCCAGAGAAGGUCUAGGCAGGGAUGCUUGAAAAGGAGUCCGGGGCAGAAGGACGUGCUGGGAUACUUUCCCUUCAAGUGCAUAAACGUAGCGAGAGCAGGGCAAGCACGCCACCCUCCGACCCCUUCCGUCUCCUGAGUAGUUGGGGGUGAGGACUAAGAGGGUUGGCAGUCCCGACCGGCGUUCAAGGUCCGGGAUGGAGCACCGAGAAGCCUCCGAAGCACAGUGCAAACCAGGCCAGGGGCCUGCAGGCCGGCUAUGCCGGCGGCUCGCCGAGCUAGGUGACGCCGCCGCCUGUCGGGCCGCGCAUGCGCACAGCGGCGCCCCCGCCCCCACCGCCCGCUCCCAACGCCCCCGCCGCGGCCCGCGGGCCAUGGAACCCGCCGAGGCCCGCGCGGUCCGAGCGCUGCUGCCCGCGCGUCCGGGCGCCGUCGCCCCGUGAGCCCGGCGGGCUGG
rnacentral:lncRNA from 1 species